ensembl:lncRNA
GUACACUAUAGAUCACCUGUAUCUGCAUUAGCCUUUUUUUGGUUUUGAGUGUUUCAAAAAUCACCAAAAAGUGGAAAUAAUAAUAAUAAUAAUUAGUAGUAGUAGUAGUAGUAGAAGAAGAAGCAGUUAGACACUUGUAGAUCCUUUGUCUAUAUUUAUGUGUUUUUAACAUUUUGCCACAUUUACAUUACCUCUUACUUUUUUGUUAUGAUUUGUGUGCAGGGGUGCCUGUGUACAUCACACUUGUGUGCAUCAUUUCAGGUUGUCAGGCUUGGCCACAAGUGCCACUGUGUUACCCGGGGAUCAGAGCCCAGGGCCUCAUGUGCUUCACAGUUUGCUUCACUGACCUGUUGUCCCCACAUGGAUGGAUGCUGGAUUGCUCGUCACAGGCAUCAGAUCCUUUACUCUGCAGAGUUUGGUCUUUCAGUUUGGGGUGUGUGUGUGUGUGUGUGUGUGUGUGUGUGUGUGUGUGUGUGUGUGUGUACAUGUCCACUCAUGUGUGAAUAUGCCUGUGUGCACAUGCAUGUAAAAGCCAGAGGGAACCUCAGGUGUCAUUCCUCAGGAACUGUUCACCUUGUUCUAGGGAUGGGGUCUCUCCCUGCAACCUGGGACUCGAUAGGUAGGUUAGGCAGUUCUAGAAUCCCUGCUCCUGCCUUCCCGCACUGAGUUCGGGAACAUGCCUUCAACACUCAGAUUCACUUGGGUCUUCACAGCAAACAUUUUACCCACUGAUCUAGCUCUUCAGGUCUUUGGUUGGUUGGUUGGUUUCAUUUUGGUUUUUUGAAACAGGGUUCUCAUAGCCCUGGCUGUCCCGGAACUCUCUCUGUAAACCAUGUUGGCCUUGAACUCAGAGAUCCACCAGUCUCUGCCUUCCAGGUCCUGGGCUUAAAGGUUGUUUUGUUUUGUUUUGUUUUUUUAAGAUAAGGUGAAAGAUAAGGUAUCACUGUGUAGCCCAGUAUGGCUCUCUCCCCAUCUCUUGGCCACCACAGAGAGGGAUAUCCUAUUAUAUGUUGUUUUUUGCUUGUGUACAACAGUAACAGGCUGUGCCCUAGGCUGCAUAAAAGUCCCUUUGAUGAAGGGAGAGGGCAAGUAAGUAGGGAGAGUGAAGGUAUCUUAAGAAUAGGUGUGAGGCAAGCCAUGUCUGUGUCAACUAAAGUAGGCACUCCGAUGUCCCUCACAGGGCAGAGGUUUACAGUACAGAUGCCUGCUCCUCAGUCCCCUGCUAUAAAGCUUCCAUCCCUGAGACACCAGCAGUUCAGGUUGUUCCUAAUAAUCCAUCAUUAAUUGGGUCCAAAAACAUUCUUAUUACCACUAAUAUGGUAUCACAAAAUAUGGCCAGUGAGUCAGCAAAUGCACUGAAAAGAAAGCGUGAAGAUGAUGAUGAUGACGACGAUGAUGACUAUGAUAAUUUGUAAUCUAGCCUUGACGCAUGUAACUGUAUUCCUGGUCUUGGAUCCAUUGUACUGAAAUUGAAAAAGCAUGUUAGCUGUUUUAAAGCUGUACUUUAGAAAGUGGUAUUUAAAAAGUACACUUACUAUACUUUUGGAUUGAAAUGUUUUACUAGAACUAGUAAUGGUUUUUCAUCCAGCUUUAUGCAUAAAAAAAUAAAAUUGUCAUUUAUCAGUUUGAAAAAAAAAAAAAAAAAGAAUAGGUGUGAGGAAGGGAAACAGGCACAGUGCUUGAAGCCAGCAAAUGUGGGGAGCUCUCGGACUGCCCAGAGGUCAUAGGGCCAGGAUGCAGUGUUACUCCCAGAACAGUGGCCCUGCACUGGCUUCCUAGAGCGCCUUGGUCAUGCAAGUGGCCCCACAAAGGACCUUCCUCUGUGCCUGCUCCCUGGCUGGUUGGGAAGUGGCUUUCAAUAAGUAGGCUCUGUAAGCUGGCUGCUAUCAGCCUCAGACUGUGCUGGAGAAACCAUAAGACAAGGCAGCUUGCUCAGCCAUCCUAGCCUGGCGACCUCACCAUGAUUGACAGGUUGGGGGAUGUCUGGUAAAGCACGCAGUGAUCCAGGUGUCACAGCAGCCCUGGGAGCUGCUGGCUUCUUUCCUAGCUGUUGUGUACAUGAGGAAACAGAGUCUCAGAAGGUGCUGAGUCUCAGGAAGGUCGAUCCUCCUAGAUCUGGUGGCCGAGCAGCCGUCUGCUCUAGGCAGCAUCCCCUGACCACUGCUGCCUUGUUCCAUCCUCUCCCCACGUCCUUACCCUCAUGGCUGCUCUCUGUCCUGUAUGGCCCUGAUAGACAGCAGUCCCUGAGGGUAUGUGAGGGAUGGAAGGGAGAGGCCACCAGGUGGGCAGGGAGUCCUAGCCAAGGAGCUCAGGAGUCUGACUGAAGCAGGAUCGGACAUCUCACCGGAGCUGCUGUGACCUCAGGCAAGGUCUCACGGUACUCUAGGCUUUACUUGGGGGCCUCAUCUAUAAAAUGGGGUUGGUAAUAAUAGCCCCUCUGUUUCUCAGAGUCAUUAGGAUUGGACGAGCCGUGAAGUGCCAAGGAUAAGGCCUGACACUGAGUAAGUGUCAGAAACAGGGCCUGUGAUUAUCUUUAUUAUUAUCAUCAAGGCAGCAGGGAGGUGGCACGGCAGCUGCAGGCCAGGAAGGAGUGUUUGCAAACUGACAGCUGGAAGGGUGACUAACUGUGCCCAGCCUCCGCUCCCUCCUGUGGUGGCAGCAGUGAGUUCUGAAUGUGGAAAGGGAGGAGGAGUUGUGGAGAGCUGGUGAGCUAAUAGGAUCUCCACAGAAGGACCCUAAGGUUGGGACUCAGCUAACUGCAGUGGGACCCUAGUUCAGGCUUUGUGACCUCAGGCAUCCUCUUGGACCUUGGUUGUCACUUGUAUGAAACAGGGUAGGGAGGCUCACAGCUCUUCCACAGUAUCCAUGGGGCCCAGGAGGUGGUUUUCAUGCUCAUGCUGGCUCCGACAGGGAAAUACUGGGUGUGAGGGGGUGGGUCCUAUUAUGCUCUCUCUGGGCUUCUGUCUAGACAGCAGGCUUGAUAACCUUGCUUGCUCUGGGUACAAGAAAGACUGUUCUGAAGGGGACAGGAAGCACGCCGGGCACUUCCAACUCUGGAGUCUCAUUCCGUUCCCUCCACAGUCUUCUUGAGGGGGUUCACUGUGCUCCGUUUCAGGGGGAGGGGAUAUGUGGCCCAAAGGGUUUGUUCAUUCUCUCUUGAGUUGGCAUGUUGAUAAAGCAAGGUUCAGGGCUCAGGUCUGAUUAGAACCAGGAGUCCUGCUCAGGAGUUACUUUCCCCUGCUCUCUCUACCCUUGCUUCUGGAGGACUCUGGGAGUGUGUGCUCCCUGAAGAAGUUCCCCAAGCGUAUCCCCCUCAGAGUCCAACCAUAGCGCUUCACAGGGAAGCUCCUUGCUACCCUACAGUGUUCAUGCCAGGGCCACUGGAGCCCUUCUCAUACGGCAGACAGACAAGGGUGCUUGGGAUAGGCUCAGCAAGUCGAGGGUCACAGAGGCCCAGAUUGAUUCAGCCUUGCUUCAUCAGCUUCUACCCAGGCCAGUUCUUCCU